ACUGAUGGUCCCAUGUAUGAGAACCUUGGAAAUGACCCACACUAUGUCUGGGCUCCCUCACCCAGCUUUUUGUAUCACUGAAAUGCUGUGUAUAUAAGCAGAAUUGGCCAGGGUUCCUAACUAAUUACAAUUCUGCUUUCUCGGUGUGAUAGAAAACAUGGUAACUUUGGAGCCAGAUACACCUAGGUUAAAUGAUGUAUCGGUACUUCACUGGCUAUACACUUUUGCCACAAGUCACCUGAUUUUUCUGAACUUUGUUCACCUUAUCUUUGCAAAAGUGGUAGCAUUUGACUGUGAGGUCUGGUGAUAAUAUGAAACAGUAUCAUCAAGUUUGUUAAAGAGAGGUAAUCCAGAGAAGCCUAGGGAUGGGGUGUCCUCUGCAAUGUGUACCUGCUUCCCACUGUCCCCUCUCAGGUGAGUGGAUACUUAAUUGCAGGUUGCUACUGCUCAGAGCUCAGGGACAUCAUGUGAUCUUCUUCUUUGCCGUGGGGUAAGAGUGUCGAGGCUUACUUCUUGGCCCAUAACUGCUCCAGUCACAGCUGCACAAGCCUGUAUGUACAUCUGAAGAGAUAUCUGCACUGAGGGAGCCUUUCAUGUGACAGACGUUCCUAACUCUUGAAGGAGACCCAAUAAAAUGGCCU
rnacentral:sRNA from 1 species